ensembl:snRNA U4 U4 spliceosomal RNA
AGCUUUGCGCAGUGGCAGUAUCAUAGCCAAUGAGGUUUAUCCGAGGCACGAUUAUUGCUGAUUAUUGCUAAUUGAAAAGGAUCCCUACCACUAGCCAUGAGGGGUCUCCACAGAUCCUUUCUAAUCACACCUCUAUUCCUGGACUUCUGCUGAGG